UCUAGAGUAGUCAAAUAAUGAUACAAGAUUUAAGCUCUUGAGGUAUAAAUUAUCUCUAGAA
rnacentral:tRNA from 1 species